rnacentral:rRNA from 1 species
UACGUAGGGGGCAAGCGUUGUCCGGAAUUAUUGGGCGUAAAGAGCGCGUAGGCGGUCCGAUAAGUCGGCUGUGAAAGUCAGGGGCUCAGCCCUUGAAAGCCGGCCGAUACUGUCGGACUAGAGUCCGGAAGAGGCAAGUGGAAUUCCCGGUGUAGCGGUGAAAUGCGCAGAUAUCGGGAGGAACACCAAUGGCGAAGGCAGCUUGCUGGGACGGUACUGACGCUGAGGCGCGAAAGCGUGGGGAGCAAACAGG